GCAUGAUCCAUUUCCAUGAAAUGUCCAGAAUAGGCCAGUGCAUAGCGACAGAAAGUAGGCUAGGUGUUGUCAGGGAGGCGGCGGUGUGGGGGAUGCGAAGUGACUGCGUGUGCGAUUCUUUGAGGGGUGAAUUCUAUGGUAUGUGUAUUAUAUCUCAAAAAAAAUAAUAGGUUUAUAUGUUUAUAUGCAAGGAAUUCACCAUUCCAACGCACACAAUACGCUGUCACAUCACUUAGGAGACAAAUCCAGAAGUUGAAAUGCAGAGCCUUUCGUGAAUGGGAAGUGAGGCUGGAGGGACCUACUGCCUUCUCUUCAGUGUGUGACUCAUUGAAUAUUGCCUCGAAAAUUCAGGGACCUCAACCACAGCGGACCUCUGCCACAGGGACCAGAGGUCAACAGCCACAGUCAGGAAGCGGUGGUCCACCUUGUGAUGGAUCAAGAGGGUCAACAGUAGCCCAGCCCUACGUCAGAGUGCCUGCGUCAUUCAUGUCACUUCAUCUCAUUUUGCAGGAAUUUUAUCACCUCAUGUCAUCACCAGAAGGAGCACAAGCAGGGGGAGCGGCAGGGGGAGAGGGAGAAGCAGGGAGCCGGAUGCGAUGCGGGGCUCCAACCCAGGACCUGGGAUCAUGACCUGAGCCGAAGACAGACGCUUAACCAACCGAGCCACUCAGGCGCCCCUAUUCCAGACUUUCUACUAAGGACUUUACUGAGAAAAUUGUCAAAAUAUGAAUAGAGUAAUAUCAUUAAAUGAUUUAGAGAUGAAAGGAUAUCAUCUGCAACCAACUAGGAAAUGAUUCAGAGAAAAAUAUGUGUAUAUUCGGAUUUAUGUAUUCACUAGAGAGAACAUAAUAUGCGGUGACAUGUUAACAUUUGGGGAAUUUGGGUGAAAAAUUUAAGAGAAUUCUUUGUACUCUUCUUGCAACUUUCCUACAAGUUUAAAAUUAUGUCAAACAACAACGAAAAGGUGAUAAGAAAUUAUAUCUUGGCAAACUUCCUUGGAUAUAAAAAUAUCAGUGGCAUAAGAAAAUUCACAGCUUUUCUCAUUUAGGUCCGAAUUAACAAAGAAUGUUAGCACCUGCUAACAACACAAAAAGAGAAAACCAGGUACCGCUUGCCUCUUGAUGAAGAGAAUAACAGCUGUCUCUGAAUAGGUCUGCAGAACUUCAGACCUGAACCUGAUUAAGCCUUAGACCCAACUAGCAAUUUGCAGCAAAAACAGAGAACAGAGGCAAAUCCAGACUAAGGAAAAUUCUAGAACAGUACCUCAUGUCUUCAACAAAUCAAAUGUAAAGGGGAAAAAAGAUAUAGGAAAACCUAUAGAUUAAAAGUGACUAUAUAUGUGUAUAUAUAUAUAAAACACUAUAUAUAAAAACUAUAUUAAGAAACUACGUAUAUUUAUAGAUAUAUUUUAUAGUGUUUAUGGAUGCACAUUUGGGUGAUAAAACUGCCAAGAAAUUGUAAGGACAUGAUUGCUGUAAAGGUCAGAAAGUGGUUAUUUUUUCUUGGGGUGGGGGGAACUGGGAUUGUUUCAGGCAGGGGCUCCUGGAGGCCUUAUAGGGUAUCUGACAAGGUUCCCCUCGUGGAGGGGAUGGUGAUUAUAGGGUGUUAGGGACAAUUCAUUUCUUUUAAGUUGUUUCCUAUAUUUUAACAAUAAAACCUGUUUUUGUUUUUGUUUUGUUUUUUUUAACUAUGUUCAUGUACUUGGCGAAACUAACAAAGCAAGGUCUCAGCGUUGCCACCUCAAGUUGCCUUUAGGAAUUGCACACUUCUCUCUGAAAUUGCCCGGUAAGGUUUAAAAUAAGUCAAGCAGAGAAAGACAAUUAUCAUAUGAUUUCUCUCAUCUAUGGAACAUAACAACUAGGAAGAUCGGUAGGGAA